rnacentral:tRNA from 1 species
GGAGAGGUGCCCGAGCGGCCGAAGGGGCACGCCUGGAGAGCGUGUGUACCGUCAGGUACCGUGGGUUCGAAUCCCACCCUCUCCG